UACGAAGGGGGCUAGCGUUGUUCGGAUUUACUGGGCGUAAAGAGCUCGUAGGCGGCUUGUCGCGUCGACUGUGAAAACCCGCGGCUCAACCGCGGGCCUGCAGUCGAUACGGGCAGGCUAGAGUUCGGUAGGGGAGACUGGAAUUCCGUGGUGUAGCGGUGAAAUGCGCAGAUAUCAGGAGGAACACCGAUGGCGAAGGCAGGUCUCUGGGCAUGUCCUGACGCUGAGGAGCGAAAGUGUGGGGAGCGAACAGG
rnacentral:rRNA from 1 species